GUGUUGUAUGAAAGAAGUUAGCACUCCCCUUUACAAAGAUGUAAGAGGCCCUCAAGUCUGACAAUCCACAUAUGCUUUAAGGCAUUGCCACGUACUUUGUGGCACCUAUCAUUUUUAUUA